rnacentral:rRNA from 1 species
CAUAACGAUCCUUGAAAAUCCGGGUAAGAGAUUUAUUCUCACGCCAGGUCGUACCAAUAACCGCAUCAGGUCUCCAAGGUUAGCAGCCUCUGGUCAAUAGGAUAAUGCAGAUAAGGGAAUUCGGCAAAUUAGAUCCGUAACUUCGGGAAAAGGAUUGGCUCUGAGGAUUGGAUUCAAGGGCCCAUUCAUGAAAGCUUAGCUGUCUUGGAACUGCGGAGGCAACGAAGUGGCUCCAGGAUAGCGAACGCUGGAAUGGGUGGGACGUCUUCAUCGGCUUUCCUUGAAUAAUUAACAAUUAACUCUAGAACUGAAGCGGACAAGGGGAAUCCGACUGUUAAUAAAACAUAGCAUUGUGAUGGCCUGAAAAGGUGUUGACACAAUGUGAAUUCUGCCCAGUGCUUGAAUGUCAAAGUGAAG